GAUCAAAUAGCGUUGAAACAUAUGUUCCCUGACGAUCACCGAUGUUAAGCAAUGUUACGCCUGGUCAGUACCUAGAUGGGUGACUCCUUGUGAAUACCAGGUGCUGUAA